UGGUGGAGUGAUUUGUCUGGUUAAUUCCGUUAACGAACGAGACCUCAGCCUGCUAACUAGUUACACCAAGGUUCUCCUUGGUGGCCAACUUCUUAGAGGGACUAUUGGUUCUUAGCCAAUGGAAGUUUGAGGCAAUAACA
rnacentral:rRNA from 1 species